UCUAAUUGAACUUAAUAGUUUAUUAUUCAAUAUAAAUAUUUAUGUUUUAUUGCUGAAUUUGAAGUUUAUAAUUUAUUGUUUAAUAUAAACCACAUUGUUUAUCUCUCGAUCUAAAAGGUGUUUGGAAGAGCGGUGAAGUUGUGGUUUCUCCUGAACAUAAAUGUUUGGAAUCUCAUGUUUAGCUUGCGAAACCCACAAUAAAACAAAGGUUUGGCUGCAGAUAUGAAAGGCAUCUUUUUCUUGCUCUUCACAUGAAAAAGCUGGGAAGAAGAGCAGUAAAAACAUGGUUGCUUAUCAUCGUUGAAAAUGGUGGACAAACUAGCCUCCCCAGAGAGCAUGGAAACACCGCAAUCCAUCUCUCCAGAGAGUUUUUUUUAUUGCAUUGUCUCCUCCAAUCUUGCAUAAGCCACCACUCUCCCUGCAGAUCUACAAACCCAUCAAUUUUUGGUAGCAAAAGGUUGGAGAAUCUGGUUGAGCAAUCACCGUUCCAGACCCACCCUGCAGAUCUGUUUUCUUCUUAUUUCUUCGAUUCACUCUUUAUGGAGGGUUUUUCAAAUAGAACUUCACCUUUCUUUGACAAUUUGAAAGGGUCCCUUUUACGUUCACAUUCUAUUGAGAUGGCAUCUGCCAUUACAGAAAAGGGUUUUCUGAUGUUCAUUGCAGUUAAACUUUCCCUAGUUAGAAAUAUAUCUGUUGUUUCUUCUUUGUCAAAUUCGAUCGAUAGAGAGUUAUUUGUUAGUUUUAAUCCCUAUGCCAAUAUGUAUGAAUAUUCUAUUGUUCCAAAUUUGUUCAAAUUCGAUCGAUAGAGAGCAACCUGUCAUUUUCUUUCAACUUGCGAUAUAAACCAGCCAGAAAUCUACUAAUCAUCAAAUAUCUGUCAUAAUUCAUGAGCAAUAGCAUAUGGUUUUGCCAUACUUUAUCUUUUAAUCCAACCUUCUGUUUAUCUGAUCUGGUGCUGGAUGAUUGGGCAACAGAUGCUGCCAUUUUCUUGCCGUCGUUCAUACUCAAAGCUGCAAAACUUGGGGUUGUCCAGGCUCGAUGAAUUGGAGGGAACAAGUAGGGAUCACUAUGAGAGGCUGCCGAUAAGGGUAGAGCCCAUUGACAGAGGGGACACCGUGUUUAAGGUGGAAAUGUAUUACAGGCACAGGAGCUAUGGAUUGAAAUUGCUUUUCUUUAAUUAGGUUCUCUUUGUCUGCAAUUCUGCAGUGUUCACAGUUAUGUAUAUAUAUAAAACAAGAGGCUGGGUCUCACCCGGGUUUGUCCGGGUUCCGGGUCAACCCGCCGGGUCGAUCGAGUUUCGCCGGGCCAACUCUCAGGCAGGUUUUUACUUAGACCCGGACUGGUCCCAGGCCCGGGUCGGCCGGGUCCUGAGUCGACCCGCCGGGCCGGUCCGGGUUUCAAAACUAUAUUCUUGGUAAUCUUAUUACCACAAACA